GAUGAACGCUGGCGGCGUGCUUAACACAUGCAAGUCGAACGAUUAAACCGCCCUCGGGCGGACAUAGAGUGGCGAACGGGUGAGUAACACGUGACCAACCUGCCCCGCGCUCCGGGACAACCGCUGGAAACGGCGGCUAAUACCGGAUACUCCGGGAGGGCCCCAUGGCCCUGCCGGGAAAGCCGAGACGGCGCGGGAUGGGGUCGCGGCCCAUUAGGUAGACGGCGGGGUAACGGCCCACCGUGCCCGCGAUGGGUAGCCGGACUGAGAGGUCGACCGGCCACAUUGGGACUGAGAUACGGCCCAGACUCCUACGGGAGGCAGCAGUGGGGAAUUUUGCGCAAUGGGGGAAACCCUGACGCAGCAACGCCGCGUGCGGGACGAAGGCCCUCGGGUUGUAAACCGCUUUCAGCAGGGAAGAUCCAAGACGGUACCUGCAGAAGAAGCUCCGGCUAACUACGUGCCAGCAGCCGCGGUAAUACGUAGGGGGCGAGCGUUAUCCGGAUUCAUUGGGCGUAAAGCGCGCGUAGGCGGCCGCCUAAGCGGGACCUCUAACCCCGGGGCUCAACCCCGGGCCGGGUCCCGGACUGGGCGGCUCGAGUGCGGUAGAGGAGAGCGGAAUUCCCGGUGUAGCGGUGGAAUGCGCAGAUAUCGGGAAGAACACCGAUGGCGAAGGCAGCUCUCUGGGCCGUCACUGACGCUGAGGCGCGAAAGCUGGGGGAGCGAACAGGAUUAGAUACCCUGGUAGUCCCAGCCGUAAACGAUGGGCGCUAGGUGUGGGGGGACGAUCCCUCCGUGCCGCAGCCAACGCAUUAAGCGCCCCGCCUGGGGAGUACGGCCGCAAGGCUAAAACUCAAAGGAAUUGACGGGGGCCCGCACAAGCAGCGGAGCAUGUGGCUUAAUUCGAAGCAACGCGAAGAACCUUACCAGGGCUUGACAUGCCGAUGAAGCCGGGGAGACCCGGUGGCCGAGAGGAGUCGGCGCAGGUGGUGCAUGGCUGUCGUCAGCUCGUGUCGUGAGAUGUUGGGUUAAGUCCCGCAACGAGCGCAACCCCCGCCCCGUGUUGCCAGCAUUCAGUUGGGGACUCGCGGGGGACUGCCGGCGUCAAGCCGGAGGAAGGUGGGGACGACGUCAAGUCAUCAUGCCCCUUAUGCCCUGGGCUGCACACGUGCUACAAUGGCCGGUACAGAGGGUUGCCACCCCGCGAGGGGGAGCGGAUCCCGGAAAGCCGGUCCCAGUUCGGAUCGCAGGCUGCAACCCGCCUGCGUGAGGCCGGAGUUGCUAGUAAUCGCGGAUCAGCACGCCGCGGUGAAUACGUUCCCGGGCCU
rnacentral:rRNA from 1 species